GGACACAAUCAGUCCUUCAAAUGCACCUCCCCAGAAGCUCUGCCCAGAAACUGAACCCCCUGGGAACGUGUCCAGCUUGUGUGGGCAGGAGCCGUCCCACCCUCACCUUAGCUGCACUAACUAGGAUGACUUGAUUUUCCAUCUUGCCAGAGAACUGGCAGUCCUGUAGUCAGGGUGAUAUGGUGUCAGUUGCUGAUUGGUUGGGGCAGUACUUUGGAGGUUAACUGCAGGCACAUUAAUGAGUCUGAUAGUACCAUGCAAAUUAGCCUGUGCCCAAGGCUUAGAGGAAAUCAAGCUGUAAGCCUCAAAGAAAUUGAGGCAGAUUUCUCUUUCUUCCCUGUUACCUUGUUAGAUUUUUCCUGGGAUCCUAACAAAGGAAGAGAUCCUAGACCAGAAAAGGCAUACCGAGAGCGGAAAUCAUCAUUGGAAUAUGAGAAAAACCAAAGCGAUGGUGGCUGGCUCGCUGCGAGUUCUCCCACCUUCUCUCUCAGGCAAAAUAACAUCCAGAGAAGAUGUCCCAGGGAGAGAUGCGAACAAAGAUGAACAGCAUCGUGGCUUGUUAGCACUGGAGGGUCCGUACAGAUCACCUGGUCUAACACGCUCCUUUUAGAGAAGAGGACACUGUAGGGCAAGAACCCAGCGAUGGAGGAGGAGACCCAACAAGCAGCAACUCAGGCAGGAGAAAAGCCUCCAACUGGGCUUGUCAUUGAGCUUUAGAAGCAUGGCAACAAACCAGCCCUUUAACACCCAGGAGCCGUGCUGGGGAGGUAAGGAUUGAUUGCCAAGAGCUGCACACCUGUGAGAGAGCUGUCACUGCAGGCUGAAGGUAUGUAAGGGGACCAGACCCUGCAGUGAUCACAGCUUCUCUGCAGAGCAAGGGGCCUCCGGGAAGGACACUCAAGUCUGAGCGAAUAUUAUAGUUAGGCAGUUAUUAAGCUAUGGUCAGACCUAAAUAAUCGAGGGGCCAUUGAUUGGGGUAAAGACUAGGUGGUACAGAGGAUAGAACACUGGGCAUGGAAUCAGAGAGACUCAUCUUCUUCCUAAGUUCAACUAUGGCCUCAGACACUUGUUAUUAGCUGUGUGACCGUGGACAAGUCACUUAACCCUCAGUUUCCUCAUCUGUAAAAUGAGCUGGAGACGGGAAGAGUAAAAAUACAUGAAAACCCCAAAGAGGGUCACAAAGAGUCAGAAACAACUGAAAUGACU
rnacentral:lncRNA from 1 species